rnacentral:rRNA from 1 species
CCUACGGGUGGCAGCAGUGAGGAAUAUUGGUCAAUGGACGGAAGUCUGAACCAGCCAUGCCGCGUGCAGGACGACGGCUCUCUGAGUUGUAACCUGCUUUUGUACAAGAGUAAAACUGAAUACGUGUAUUCAUCUGCAAGUACUGUACGCAUAAGGAUCGGCUAACGCCGUGCCAGCAGCCGCGGUAAUACGGAGGCACCAAGCGUUAUCCGGAUUUAUUGGGUUUAACGGUUGCGUAGGCGGAUUGAUAAGUUAGAGGUGAAAUGUCCGAGCUUAACUCUGGAACUGCCUCUAAUACUGUUGAUCUAGAGAGUAGGUGCGGUAGGCGGAAUGUAUGGUGUAGCGGUGAAAUGCUUAGAGAUCAUACAGAACACCGAUUGCGAAGGCAGCUUACCAAUCUAUAUCUGACGUUGAGGCACGAAAGCGUGGGGAGCAAACAGGAUUAGAUACCCUUGUAGUC